AGAUCGCUCAAUUGGACAUGUAGUUGUUCCAGUCAUUAAUGGAGAACUAAUGGGCCACUUUGUCUAAAUCACAAGACUACAGAGAUCGUGAUCUCCGGUGCUGUAAGAGAAGCAGAGUGUGCAUUCAGAAGGCUGCGCCCUCGAUCACAAACCUCUGUGACAGACAAGAUCAGACUGAAGAGGCAUCAGUGAGUCAUACUGUCUCCAGUGAGCUCUGUUCCUCCUGAUGAAGAUACUGGCUCAGCAGGCUGACACUGCCCCGUCAUAUGAUGUUGUUCUCAUGUCUGCAGCCUUUGAUUACAGUCAAUUGGAGACAGUUAGCCCUAAUCACCCUUCAAUGAACCCUCUGUUCUCCUCGGCUUCAUGAAACAACUUCUGUUCUGCCAGAAUCUCACGCGAAUGGCCGUGGGAUAUGUAUUUUCAGGUGUGUUGCAUGAACGAAGAUGAUUUCUGAAAACCGGCUCAUCUUGACAGAGAUUUUCUUUCAUCUAAGAAGCUGUUUACAAAAGUGUUUAAUGCGUAAUGUUCAUGGACUGGGCCUGACGUGACCCAGAGGGAGUUCAGGAGUUCAGGAGGUGAUUUUAAA